rnacentral:rRNA from 1 species
CUAGCCUGCUCNCUGACAUAAAGUGUUAAAUAGCCGCGGUAUCUUGACCGUGCAAAGGUAGCAUAAUCAUUAGUUUCUUAAUUGGGAACUUGUAUGAAUGGUUGGACAAAGAAAAAUCUGUCUCUUGCACUGAAAUUGAAUUUAACUUCUAAGUGAAAAGGCUUAGAUUAUCCAGAGGGACGAUAAGACCCUAUAAAGCUUUAUAAAUUUAUUAAUUUCGUUUAUUUUUUAUUAUAAUAAUGAUGAUAAGAGAAUUUAUUUGGUUGGGGCAACCGAAGUAUAAUUUUAAAUAACUGCUAUAAUUUAAUACAAUGAUUUUUGUCUUAUACAAUAAUUGAUCCUCAAAGAGAUUAAAGACCAAGUUACUUUAGGGAUAACAGCGUAAUUUAUCCUGAGAGUUCUUAUCAAAGGAAAAGUUUGCGACCUCGAUGUUGAAUUAAAAUGUCUACCUAGUGCAGCAGCUAGGAAAGAAGGUCUGUUCGACCUUUAAUUUUUUACAUGAUC